UCCCUGGUGGUCCAGUGGCUAAGGCUCUGUGCUCCCAAUGCAGAGGCCUGUGUUCAAUCCCUGGUCAGGGAA
rnacentral:tRNA from 1 species